rnacentral:rRNA from 1 species
AACGAACGCUGGCGGCAGGCUUAACACAUGCAAGUCGAGCGAUACCUUCGGGUCUAGCGGCGAACGGGUGAGUAACGCGUGGGAACGUGCCCUUCUCUACGGAAUAGCCCCGGGAAACUGGGAGUAAUACCGUAUACGCCCUUUGGGGGAAAGAUUUAUCGGAGAAGGAUGGGCCCGCGUUGGAUUAGGUAGUGGGUGGGGUAAUGGCCCACCAAGCCGACGAUCCAUAGCUGGUUUGAGAGGAUGAUCAACCACACUGGGACUGAGACACGGCCCAGACUCCUACGGGAGGCAGCAGUGGGGAAUCUUAGACAAUGGGGGCAACCCUGAUCUAGCCAUGCCGCGUGAGUGAUGAAGGCCUUAGAGUUGUAAUGCUCUAUCAGCUGGGAAGAUAAUGACGGUACCUGCAGAAGAAGCCCCGGCUAACUACGUG